rnacentral:rRNA from 1 species
UACGAAGGGGGCUAGCGUUGUUCGGAAUUACUGGGCGUAAAGCGCACGUAGGCGGCUUUGUAAGUUAGAGGUGAAAGCCCGGAGCUCAACUCCGGAAUUGCCUUUAAGACUGCAUCGCUAGAACGUCGGAGAGGUGAGUGGAAUUCCGAGUGUAGAGGUGAAAUUCGUAGAUAUUCGGAAGAACACCAGUGGCGAAGGCGACUCACUGGACGACUGUUGACGCUGAGGUGCGAAAGCGUGGGGAGCAAACAGG